rnacentral:lncRNA from 1 species
AUGGGUUGCAGUUUGAAACGCAGAAGGUUUUUUCUGUCACGUUCUGAUUUUACUGAAGUAAAUGAUGUGAAAACUCUCCGUCGUCUUAAACGUGUCCACAAACUUUUGGCCCUGCCCGUGUCUCGUCGACGUCUCUUCCUUCCUCUCCAGCGCUCUCAGUUAUGUCCUCCACUUUGCUCUGACACAUUUUCAAGUCUCCUCCAUCUUUCUCUUCUCUCCUCUGACACAUUUAGCUUUCCCUCCCUCUCCCGUCAGGACACACACACGCACACACACGGCGGAGGUGAAGUCGAGAGGCUUGUCUUAGCGUGCCAUCUGUCCUCGGCGCUGACGUUGGCUCUAAUUACCGCGUCUCCCCUGGCUAAUGCUGCCUCAUUAGGCCGCCGGAGCAUGUGCAGCCGACACGAGCGCGGCAGAGAGUUUGCACCAGGAAGCUCGAGCUCGAGCCAUUAUGAGAUCAGGAAAUCUGUCUGGUGCGAAAGGCAAUUCACACCAGCGACUAAACGCUCAUUUUGCUUUUUCUCUCUCUCCAGUUCCAGCCUUCCUCUCUCUGUCGCGCCCUCCCUCCCUCCCUCGCUCCCUCGCUCCCUCGCUCCGCUCGUCUGGCGUUGGACAGCGUUCCCGAGGCCUCGAGGCCCGGGGCCCGGGUCCAAGAACCAAAACAAAGGAGUCAAGGAGGAGUCCUGGAGAGACGAGAACUCGCCCAGCUUCUCAAACAACAAGUUUAAAGGAUCGCUCCUGUUUAGUUCAGCCUGGGUCUUCAUUUGCUGGUUAAUUUAUGGUAAUAAGAAUAAUAACAACAUCGUCCUCCUGAAUUCAGGUUGGAGAUCCAGAGGAUUUCCUGAUUGGAAAACUUCACUCCGCCUUAUGUAACUAUAUUUAACUCAUUCAAAGUUGACGCAAAAAAACCCUGGUUCUUUGUUGCAGGUUGACGAACACGUAGUUACGGACAAUACAUUCAAUUUCUGUGAAUAAGUCCUUCUAAAUAUGACACACUGUAGCUUUAAUACAUUACAACCUUUCAUUUCACCCAAAACCUUCCUGGCAUCAGACGGUAACACUUAGAUGAUGAUAAUAACAAAAAAGUAGAUUAUUAUGAUUUAUGAUGAGGCUUUGGCAGAACAUGUGAACAGAAUUGUAUUUCCUCUGGUUUGAUGUUGUCAUGACCUUUCUGCAAAAACAACAGUUUCAUGAGCAGAGGAUUAUUUCCCGCUCUCCCUCGAAUCAGACGUGCGUUCCGUGGCCUGCCUCGCCUGCGGCGCCUCCCCGCCAUGAAUCAUCCGACAAACCGCCAGAUCAAGAUCCGGAGUCUUUACGUCUCUGUUGCGGUCGCCGCGCUGACAGCAGUAAAUCUGUGGGAAUGGAUGACGACUGCGGUUCGUCGGCGACAGGCGUCUGAUGUCGGUCGCUGUAGACGGUUCUUUGUUUACCAAAGUUGUCCGUGACAAGUGACUGUGGCAACUGGUUAACGAGCAACACGAUCGGAGAAAAAGGAAAGUGGUGUUAACACAACAGAGACAUUUAUUCAGGGAUGAAUGAUGAAUAAAAUCUGUAGUCAACACUCACUGGUGUUCUUAGGUGGAAACCGAGCACAGACGCAGUGACGCUUGUCACAGUCGACAUGAUGAUGUCAUAUCAAAAACAGCUCACCGAAUUCUGGUGUCGUCUCGAAUGAGCAACAAGCGUUUUACACCAGUCGUAGAACAUUUUACACAACAAAGGGCGGAAAAUCAGAGAUUCUUUUCUGAGACGUGUCUAAGUCACGCUUACGACCAGCGACCUGCGAUUUGGUUUCAGUUUGGAAGCUAGCAACUACGCCUACGUCACGUGUCACAUCAUCAUUGUGCAGAUCAUACACAGCCAAAUGUGAGGCCCACCGCUGGACUACUCUGAAAAUAUUAAUCUAGGAAAAAAAAUGAGAUUGACUUUGAUUUUUUUUAUAUAUAUCUUGCAGUUCCAGCCUCUGCCAGCAGGGGUGCCGCCCCCCUUGUGUGUUCUCAGCUCAGUCGGUGUCGAGGCUGCUUCAUGUUGGUCCAUCGUCUGGAGAUCACGACCGCUCGUUCCUGACCAGGCGUCGUCUCCUCUCCCAAACUAAACGUCCUCCUCCUCCUCUGACAAGCGUCUCCACGGUAAUGCUGCGUUCAGGUGCUCGUGGGAAGAGAAGACUCCCUCUACUGGUAUUUAGGACCUGGUGACGUGUUUGCUGCCAGUUUUAGAGUUUGUCUCUUAUUGUAGCUGGUUAUUCAAAGUGCUCACCUGAAGGAUUAGAAACUAUACAUCCACUCGGACCCGAUUCCUCCCCCCUCAGAAACUCCUCCUCCUCCUCCUCCUCCG